CUUUAUACCCCCUCCCAAGGUCCCAUUGGCUCAGGCGCUGACUCUGCUGUGUGUCCUUUCCUCAUUGGUGUUUCUGGUCAGGUGUCCCUGUCAGCAUCUCUGGGCAUAGAGUCAGGCUUGGCUCAGGAGGAAGUGCCUGCUGCGCAUGCUCAGGCUGGCUGACCUGGGUACCAGGGGUAGGGCGUGGCUUGGGUUGCUGGCUGCAGUUUCUUCUACAACCGACCUUACCCAAAUUUGCAUGCUGUAUCUUGGGCUUAAGGACAUCUUUUUCUUGGAUAAUUGUUUUGAACCUUGUCUGGUUUUGCUGUCUGACGUCAGGAAUUAUUCCAAGCCCUCUCAAGCCCUGAGUAAAUAAGUGGUUUGUGCCUGUUCCAAUGGCAGAGCAGAAAUCUGCAGUGGCUCCGUCAAGCGACUGUACUGAUUCCUUAUUCUGACACCAGGAGAAGACUCCAUCCCAGAUUGUGGCAAUGUCUGUAUCCAAUCUAUCAUGAGAAAUGGCGUCAGAGUCAGGGUUUGCUUGCUGACUUCUUGUAGCUGCAAUGGACUCAUUUUUGGAUAAGUAAGUGUUGUAUUUAGGGCAAAGGGUAUAAUUAUUUGUUUAAAUUUAGAGUAGUAUUUCUGAAGGACCUAAUUCUUAAUGGCUUCCAUAAAAUGUGUCCUCAGAUGCUUAGGCCUGGGUGCUGAGGGCCUCGUUUGGAAAAAUAAAAUAAAUGAAGGGAAUUAAAAGAUUUAAAGUAUAUAAAAUAUAUAAAACUAAUGAAAUUCUUGGGUACUAAAUCACCAUUGCUACAGAAUGUCGUUUGCUUUUGUAUUUGUAUUAAAAUAAAAUUAUCAUUACAUUUUUAACUUUAACUUGUCUAAAUCCCGUGACUCAUUUCAAAUCUGUGAAAAUGCUAGCCCACUUUUUUAAGAGGAAUUGUCCCCUGGCAUCUUCAAAAACCAAAAGUACCCUAGGAGGGAUAGUAAAAUACUUGCUACUCGAACACGGGGACCUCAGUUCAAAUCCUCAGCGCCCACGUGUGGAAUACUGGGCUUGGAUGUGCGCUCCGGGAAUUCAGGCGCCUAAGAGAUGGAGACAUGGAAACCAGUGGGGAUGGGGGCGGGGGCGGAAAGGUGAGCAUCCGGUCUACCUGAAUUGAUGGGCUCAGAAACUAAGGAGGAGGGCAGCCAGUGUCAACUUCCGGCCCCCACAUGUAUGUGUACAUACGUCCACGAACACAUGUUCACAGGAACACAAGA